rnacentral:tRNA from 1 species
GCGCAGGCGGUUUGACCUGUCGGGAACUAGGCGCGCCCAUCCGAGCCUCAUCAUUUGUGACGUUCCACAACCUUGCCAAGGUUGGGGUCGAGGGUUCGAAUCCCUUCGCCCGCUCCA